UGAGAAGACUCUUGCAGAAAUCUAUCCAGG
rnacentral:piRNA from 1 species